AUACAACUGGUCUAUUCACCACCAUCAAGGCAUCAAUGACAAUCUUCUCAAGCCUCCUAUAUAAACAGGUACCCUCUCCUACAUAAAAACCCAACUAUACCAUUUUGUAUUCAAAUUCUUGACAUAAAAACAAACACAAAAUGGUUUGCUUCUGUUUUCUGGUUGAUCAGACAAGAAAGGUGAGGAGAUGUAAACCAGCUGCCGGCAUAUGCUCCCGGUGCGGCGGCGGCGCUAGCGUUGCCGACAUGAAGACUGCAACGAGGUUCUGCUAUGUACCAUUUUAUGUGAAGACUUGGAGAGCCAUCAUGUGUACUUUCUGUGGCGCUAUUCUAAGGUCAUAUCGAUGAAAUCCUAAUUUUCUAGAAAUAAUAUCUAUGGUGCACGGAUCUUACCGUCUAACCGUUAGUACUCCGCAUCUUGACAGAGUUUUUAACAGCUAUGUUACUACUAUUUGUUUGUUUUAGACUUUAGUCCAUUUUCUUCAUUCUUUUUUUGACAAUGAUGAAUUGGAGAUUAGCUUUGUGCUGGAUGAAGUUUCAGAUUAUUGAAUUAGAGGAAUUGGAUGUACUAAUUAUUAACAUUUAUUAUGGGAAAAAUUAGAAGAAAUUACUAUCUAUCUCGUUAUUUUUCCUCUUGUUUUUCAUAUUUUACAUAAUAACUUUGUAAAUAAAUAUUUGAUCAAUUGUUUAAUUAAUUUAAUACAUGAAAAAGGGAGGAAAAAAGGCUACUCCAUAGGUUACAACUCAUUUGUUACAUUCCUUAAUUAUUUCAUUUUUUCUGACUAAUGCAUUGAUUUAUUGCAGUUAUUUUCUUUCUCUUUGUUUUUUCUUGUUUGAG
rnacentral:lncRNA from 1 species